GACGAACGCUGGCGGCGUGCCUAAUACAUGCAAGUAGAACGCUGAAGGAGGAGCUUGCUUCUCUGGAUGAGUUGCGAACGGGUGAGUAACGCGUAGGUAACCUGCCUGGUAGCGGGGGAUAACUAUUGGAAACGAUAGCUAAUACCGCAUAAGAGUAGAUGUUGCAUGACAUUUACUUAAAAGGUGCAAUUGCAUCACUACCAGAUGGACCUGCGUUGUAUUAGCUAGUUGGUGGGGUAACGGCUCACCAAGGCGACGAUACAUAGCCGACCUGAGAGGGUGAUCGGCCACACUGGGACUGAGACACGGCCCAGACUCCUACGGGAGGCAGCAGUAGGGAAUCUUCGGCAAUGGACGGAAGUCUGACCGAGCAACGCCGCGUGAGUGAAGAAGGUUUUCGGAUCGUAAAGCUCUGUUGUAAGAGAAGAACGAGUGUGAGAGUGGAAAGUUCACACUGUGACGGUAUCUUACCAGAAAGGGACGGCUAACUACGUGCCAGCAGCCGCGGUAAUACGUAGGUCCCGAGCGUUGUCCGGAUUUAUUGGGCGUAAAGCGAGCGCAGGCGGUUAGAUAAGUCUGAAGUUAAAGGCUGUGGCUUAACCAUAGUACGCUUUGGAAACUGUUUAACUUGAGUGCAAGAGGGGAGAGUGGAAUUCCAUGUGUAGCGGUGAAAUGCGUAGAUAUAUGGAGGAACACCGGUGGCGAAAGCGGCUCUCUGGCUUGUAACUGACGCUGAGGCUCGAAAGCGUGGGGAGCGAACAGG
rnacentral:rRNA from 1 species